AGUGAACGCUGGCGGCGUGCCUAAUACAUGCAAGUCGAACGGAGUGGGGCACGGGUGAGUAAUGUAUAGCUAAUCUGCCCUACAGUAGAGGACAACAGUUGGAAACGACUGCUAAUACUCUAUAGUGUAGGAUGAGGCUAUAAUGUCUCAGCUCGUUGGUGAGGUAAUGGCUCAACAAGGCUAUGACGCAUAACUGGUCUGAGAGGAUGAGCAGUCACACUGGAACGGAUGCACAGUUCAGGCUCCUACGAGAGGCAGCAGUAUGGAAUAUGUCUCAACGCGCGAGACCCUGAAGCAGCAACGCCGCGUGGAGUAUGACACUUUGCGGAGCAUAAACUCCUUUUGUUAGGGAAGCGGUACCUAACGAAUAAGCACCGGCUAACUCCGUGCCAGCAGCCGCGGUAAUAC
rnacentral:rRNA from 1 species